rnacentral:rRNA from 1 species
GACGAACGCUGGCGGCGUGCUUAACACAUGCAAGUCGAACGGUGAAGCGCCUUCCUUUUUGGUGGGUGUGGAUGAGUGGCGAACGGGUGAGUAACACGUGAGUAACCUGCCCCCUUCUUCUGGAUAACCGCAUGAAAGUGUGGCUAAUACGGGAUAUUCUGGGUCUGUCGCAUGAUGGGUCUGGGAAAGAUAUUGUUUCGGUGGGGGAUGGGCUCGCGGCCUAUCAGCUUGUUGGUGGGGUGAUGGCCUACCAAGGCGGUGACGGGUAGCCGGCCUGAGAGGGUGGACGGUCACACUGGGACUGAGACACGGCCCAGACUCCUACGGGAGGCAGCAGUGGGGAAUAGUGCACAAUGGGCGCAAGCCUGAUGCAGCGACGCCGCGUGAGGGAUGGAGGCCUGCGGGUUGUGAACCUCUUUCGCCAGUGAAGCGGGCCUGCCUCGUUUGUGGGUGGGUUGACGGUAGCUGGAUAAGAAGCGCCGGCUAACUACGUG